rnacentral:rRNA from 1 species
UUUUUGAGUGUCUAUUUAUUUUCGAUUGGUAUCAAUGGAUUGAUCACAAGCCGAAACAUGGUUAGAGCUCUAAUAUGUCUUGAACUUAUACUGAAUUCAAUUCUCGUAAGAUUUUCUGAUCUAUUUGAUAGUCGCUAAUUAAAAGGAGAUAUUUUCGCAAUUAUUGUUAUAGCCCUUGCGACUGCUGAAGCCGCUAUUGGAUUGUCCAUUCUUUCUUCCAUCCAUCGUAAUAGGAAAUCCACUCGUAUCAAUCAAUCUAAUUUAUUGAAUAAUUAG